CAUUGGAGCCUUGACGCCUGUCAGCCUGGCGCCGCUCGGGCGGUCUCCAUGGAGACGUCAAACAAGAGCGCUCGCACCGCCUAGCUCCGCCAUUCACCUGCAGCUCGAGAACAAACCAGCUCCGGAGCUUUGUCGUUCAUUUAUCACCUUGGAGCGGCCAGAUGAGAUUACCGCCCCGCGCACCUGCGCGGGCGCCGCUGGCCGGAGAGCGAGUUCGGGAGGAGGGGGAGGAGAAGGAGGAGAGGAGAGGAGAGGAGAGGAGGAAGGAAGGACCUAAAUUUGCAUUUUAACACACAUCGCUUGCAUUCUUUCACAUGAUCACUUUCGCGUAGGCCUUUGGUCUUUUGCCCAUCAAUGUACAGAUUAUGAUGUCUUUAAUUGUCAAAAGUUUUCAAGACUUUUAAUAUGAGCUAUAAAACAAUUUUGAGAACAAAAUACCAAACUAAAUCGAAAUGUCCUUUUGAUGAGCCCUGACCUAAACCUUUUUAAACGCCCAUGGAAGAUUUUCAAACCAGCGUGCCAAAAUACCUGUCGACAGGUGCAGAAGUGUCAUUGACGGGAGAAAAAAAAAAUCAAAGCUUGUGGAACGAGAUAUUUCGUCAUUUUUGUCCAGACCAGUUUCCUUGGUGUUCACACUAAAUUCUGUUGUAACACAAAAAGGCAGAAUUGUACGUGCCAUCAAGUUUCAGCUAACCUUUUUAUUCUCAUAGUCUAUAUACCGUCAACAUUUGAAUAGAUUUUUCCUGAGAUUUGAUUGGAUGUUGGACUUGUGCAAACAUAUUGUUGUAAAUCAUUCUUGCUCGAGUCCAAAAGCUAUUAAAAGAGCCACGGCUCAUUGUUUUCUUUUAACCAAUCUCCCUAGCCCAAGGCUUUUUCUUCCUUCUGUUGCAGUAACCUGUAAAAACUUCUCUCCAACUUUCUUUUUUCUCUCUCUUACACCCCCCCCCCCCCCUGCCCUCUGUCCCAGGUCGCAGCUGACGGGGUGGUGGGAGGGCCGGGUGGGCAGAACAAUGGAAGCGCGAUUCAGGGAUUGUGGGAGAGAAUCUAGGCUGGAGCCACAGUGUCUGGAGCACCCCUCCACACCCCUCAUCCAGCUUUUGUUCAGCUGCAAAAGCUAUCAGCACUUCCUACUGACACCAACAAUAACGCCACACAGCUGGGCCCUUUUUAGCAUGUUUAGAGCACAUCAAGGCAAGAGGAGACAGAGGGAAGAGGCAGAGGAGGCCAAAGAAAAGUCAACCAUAUUAGCUCCUGAUUUUAACUGACAGAAUGGCAGUGCCCGCUCGCGCCACCCCAACCCGGCCCGCCUUCAUUGCCCACACGGGAUUCCUUUUCCCAGUGGAGCCGUUACAUGAUGGCUCUUUACCAGUAUUUUAUGUUUGCUGACAGGCUACCGUUUGUGACGGUCUGUCGCAACAUCCUGCAGCCAUCAAAAGGCUUUUAAAGAACAUUGUGUAUUUUAGCCACUUUUUUGGGGGUGGGGGGGUGUUGUUUGGUCGAAGACAUUGUUCCAUUUGGUCUAGGGGAAGCAUACUCAAUAAUACGCCCUCUUUAUCACGAGUGCGAGUAAAGCACAUUACAGGAAGUAUUCGGGAAAGGUUGAGGCAGGAAUUCCUUUAGAGGAAAUGAGACAUUCCAACAGACUUUUGCUGCUGUUUUUAUUACUGUUGGGACAAUACGAAGCAGUCUUACUACUUCCUCAAACAUGAAAGUGGCCCGAGUCACAAUAAUUGUGACAGGGAGGAAAUCUUUUUGUUUCUUGGACAGAGGAGUGUCAGAAACGGUUAUUUGAGUACACACUUGCUGCUCUUUCAGUUUAUGAGACUAAUAAUAAAAUAAUAAAGCCAAAAUAAAAUCAUAAAAGCUUAUUAGUUAUCUAGCUAUCUAUUGAGCUUGCCUCGCUCAUUUGGGAUUUAUCAUCUACAUGCAUACACACACACACACAUAGGCUGUCUCUGCAGCUGUGCGAUGAGUUUCCAGUUCCCCCCAGUCAGGCUCUUCCUGUUUGCUUGAUAAUGAUCACACCUGUGUGCAGGUGAGCAGGCCAGUCGAGAGACUCGUGUGAGACCAGGAAGGCGUGCAUGUUUGCAUGGCCUCAACGACAACAUCUCAAUGAUGACGGACACGUCGCGACGUUCCACUCUGGACAGGAAGUGAAAUGUAAGAUUUUGGGUUGUCGUUUGUCAGCUGCUGCACGUACACACCCCGCCUGGAUUCCUGGAGAUGCUGCGGCGCUGUGGUGUGGCUUGGCACCUCCCUCUGUAAUGACUGAGGGCCCACGGUUGGGAGUCACUUCCUGUGGGAGUCCUGCUUCAGAGAUGUGUCAUCGGCAGCGCAGACUGGCCGGAGCCAGUGUUUUGGUUUUUCCCCCUGACUGGCGAGUUGGGUGCCAUUUUCCACUGUGCAGGUUGUACUAUCUGCACUUUAUCCUUGAAGGCCCGCAGGUGUCCUCCAGUCUGUGUCCUUGGCCCGACGGGGACAGUUUGGUCUCUUGCCUAUGUGUGUGUGUGUGUGUGUGUGUGAGAUCCAAAACGUAUCCCUCCUUACACCCCGGUGGCCAUCUCCCACUGCCUGGUUCCCACACACACUAUCAAAGCCCUUUAAUGGCUUCUAAUUAGCUCCCCAUCUGCUGGUGACAGCGCACUGGUGGCAUGCUAAAGCACCCAUUGAGAGCACAGACAUUGUACUCUGGAAUACUUUCCACUCCAGUGGCAAUUGCCUGGAGAGAGAGCUUUAGUCGGGGGUGUGAGUGGGAUGGGGGGGUCGGCUCGAGUUUGGUGAGUGGGGAGUGAGAUGGAGGGGAUGCUUGCUAGUGUUUUCUCCGGUCACGGCUUGGGGAAGGGCAGGGGAGGGGGAAACACAAUGGGAGACAGUGUUACGGCUUGUUGCGAAUCUAAUAACGCCCGAGUCCCUCUUCCGUCGGCUGGUCAUACCCCCCUUCCCCCACCCCGGCCUGCUACCACUGCAACCACCAGCAACUUUUUUCCCAACGCCACCUCAGCCCUCCCUCCACUUCUUCAUUCUUCUGCAAACCGUUUUGCUGGUGACAUCCCGCAUAGUGGACGGGCGGGUGAGUUUACACUGACUUUGCAUUGAGGUCAGCACAAGCCAACGAGCUUCUCCUUUGUCCUGACCGGCCCAGUGGUUGUACAGCGAACAAUAGAUGCACCGCUAUAGAAACUGUAAGUGUAGCCUAAUGAAGCCUCUUCAUUAGCGGAAAGUUGAAUGCUACCCGCUUGUUGGAUCCUGUGAGGCCAUCUCUUGGCCAGGACUCCAACAGAGUCCAGGUCCACUGGUAGCAGAAGGGGGACCAGCUGUUCCCAGCUGGUCGCCAGAAGAUGCCCAUGGGGUGGGGGGCGGACAAAACUGAUUGCUGCCGGCCAGCUGCCCCCUCCACCUUUCCCCUCCUUAGCGGGCCGGUAAAGACCAAACAAAUGACAGAGCUUUUCUUAAAUCCAAUUCAAGAAUUUUUAAACUCAUGAUCGUAUUGCACCAUUAGAAUCGCACAAUCUAUCACUUCUAUUAUUUAUAUAUACCGAGGAGGCCACAACGCCAUCCAAAACCUUUUCACGACAUAAAAACCCAAGUACCACUUAGUACCUAAAAUCAGUCUGUGAUAAUCCCCAAAAAGUUAGUGAAGGAUUUCAGGGGACCUAAAGUGGAAAGAUCAAAGGUCAUUAGUAAUUGCUCUGAAGCGCCUAAGGCCCUGCUAAGUUGACACAAAUUUACGUGUAUUGAUUUGACUUUAUUGAUGGUUAAGCAUUGGCGAGCGUUGCCUGAGAUGGCAGAGAAAGCGGCAGUAAAAAAUGACAAGCGAGAGGCAUCCAUUUAUAGUCGGUCACCUGACCUCUCUCUUUAUCUGGCGCUCAAACAAACGCUCGCAUCCCCACAGCUGCACAGAGGCGUCCAGUCAGCACGGCCAGGGGACACAGGAGCCCGAGCCCAAAGACGGAGCUCGGACAGUGGCAGCUGGGGAGCUGACAAAGCCCCAUUCAGAGGGCCCGGGCCUGGGGACAAUGGCUGGGCCAGGCUGAGCCCUCUCCUCCACUCUUCCACCCAAAGAUUAAUACUUCAGAUGGGCUUCCCGGUGGCAGGCAGGGCUAAAAGGAGAGCCCUCCUGUUUGUCACCGGGCAUUGUGCAAGUCGCCUGAGAACCGAGCUCUUGGAUGGGCUUGACAAAUGAGAGCUGCCAUUGACAGUGAACAGAUUGGGCCUGACACUUUUGUUUUGAUUGUGGAAGCGGCUAUAAUCAAGUUAUUUGGGCCUCUGGAAGGUUUUUGUUUCGCUCUUGACAUUUAAGUCGCACCUCCGCCGCACUCAGGUUUCCGCUCUUGUUUGUUGCUUGCCCUCGUCAAAAGUGUAACGACAAGGGCGAGUUGAUUUCCUGGGGUGUGGGAAUUCGCUUCUCCAUUCACAGGCCCUCCAGUCAGGAAUCCAGGUGCAGCAGGUGUAGCUGCAUGUAUUCUUGUCAUCGUCCAAAGUGCGACGCCGCGCAGGUAUUGUAACACUUUGCCGUCCCCUGAGCACCUCUCCUGAAUAACAUGCAUGGCAACCAGAGACCGUGUCAGCUUAAUGCGAUCAUCUCGCUUGUCCACCUGCGUUUGAGUAGACCGACUACGAAGAUCAAAUUGUGAAGAAAUGGAGGAGAGAGAGUCCAGCUGUUAUCCAGAGGAGCAUGUGUGUGUUCCCACCCAAGAUUACGCGUACGUGUGUCGGCACCGUGAUUCAUCCCGCAGCUGCCCCCCCAACCCCGACUGUCGUCACUAAAUUCAGCCUGCUCCGUUUACAGCAAUCUGCUUUCACUCAAAAUGUCGCCAAUUUGAAUUAUCCAAGAAAUAUGAUUGUUCCAGCGUGAUCGCUCGUGCGGACCUUGAGCAUACUUGCAUCAUUAUGAGACAUAAGCAAAACCUUUUGUGGAUUAUGACAUAACAUAGUUUGCAUUGCAUUGUAUUAUUGCUCUCAUUUUAGAACAUGUUAAGUGUUAAGUGACCUAGCUGCACUUUGGCUACAUUGUUGUUUGAGUUUAAAUACUUUCAAAUCAACACAACUACAUGCCGUGGAUUAUUAAACACAAUGAAAGUUUUCAUCCGUAAUGGUCAUUUUGAAAAAUUUGCCUCGUGGUGCGAAAAACGCGCUAGAUAUCUUUGGCCGUCCUGGUGGCCCCGAUGAUCAGCGCCGAUGCGGGUUUCCAUUUCUAAUUGAUUCGGACUACCUCUUUGAUACAACUAUGCAAUGCGUGUCAAGAGCCGCAUUCAUUGUGUCAUCAGCAAGCGUUCCGAUUUCUAAUCCUCCUCGACACUCAUACAUCUCAACCCUCUUGGCGCCAAAAGAAGCGGCAGGAGAAGCUUGAAAGAAGAAAGAGAGAAAGGGCCGUCAAACGGACGGUGAGGAACGAGAGAGGAGCCGAGGAGCGAGCGAGUGAGAAAAUGAGAGAGAGAGAGAGAGAGAGAGAGAGAGAGAGAGAGAGAGAGAGAGAGAGAGAGAGAGAGAGAGAGAGAGAGAGAGAGAGAGAGAGAGAGAGAGAGAGAGAGAGAGAGAGAGAGAGAGAGAGAGAGAGAGAGAGACAGCAUGGAUUCUUUUCUUUGGGGCCUUAAAGACGUGUUUCCCUCAGAUGUUGGCUCUUCUUCACAUGCUAAUGGUUCACUCUUCUUCCCGAGCCGGGCCUUAGCAUAACAAUGCGGUGGAAGUGAAAGAGCUAAACCUCUGCUUUCUCAAAGAAGCCAAAGCUGGGCUUUUCUUGUGGACCAAUGCCCCCUUGGCUCUUUGUGCUCGCUGUGAAAGGCCCGCGCGACGCAAAGGCCAGGUGAUCACAGCGUUUGCUGAAAAUGAGACUGAAACAACACACGGGCGAAAAUUACUCCGGCAAAGUCAUUAAAAUCCUGCCGAAAUGCCCAAAUAUAGCGGGCCGGCGCCGAGCCGAAGCACUCGACUCUCCAGCGCGAUGACACAAGUUCUAUUGAAUAUUAUCAGCUUUUGCUUUCAAAGCUGUGCUGAAUUAUGUCUGUUGCUGGAAUCCAAGCCAAAUGUUUUGACUGCGCGUAGCCGGCUGACUCCGAGACGCGCGAGUCCCAUCUGAAAAGAACUCGCUGGCCUGAAGGAUUUUUGGAUGAACGGCAUUCUGACCUUGACCGGGCUUCUAAGGCCCUGAUAGGCUCUGAUAACAAACGGAGAACAUUUGCUUUUUUUUCCUUAUCAUUUAUCAGGCAAGAAUGAGCAGAGGCAAAAGACUUGCGGGAGGACACCGAGAUACGGAUCGGGAAGCACGGGCUGCGCCGAGACCUGGCGGCUUCGUCUUAUCCGUCUUGAUGUGAGGUCAAAUUGGUCUCGAGUGUCGUUCAGAUUUUGCAUUUGAGGAACCCGCUCGGGGUGAAGAUGCGCAGCCAGCAGAACACGCGAGCUCUUUGGCUAUUAUGACACUUAGAGCGUGUUUAGCCGCUAAAUUAGUAAGCCCAUCUAUUUAUCAGGUUUUACUCCAUUAACACCUCGGAUGUUGUCCUCUUGCCCCCAACUUCAGUCCCCACAUCCCAUUUUAUGCAAACCACGUCCGCCCAGGUGCAACACUGAGGAAGUUAGCGCCUCUUCGCUCCAACCACACAUUCUAUUAUUUACAUGCAAAAUGACGGCUUAGCUGGUAAAUAUGUGAGCACAGGUGUGUGUGUGAGCGUGUGUGAUGGGAAGGGCGGAGAUGGGGAUUGGAGGGGCGGGGGGCUUGUUGUCACCAGAGCCACUAAUCUGCUUACUGAGCGUUAUGCCACAUUUCAUAUUCUAUUGAAAUGGAUUGCAGAAGAAGAAUGGAAACAGCUCAGAUGAGGGGAAAAAAAAGAGAAAAGGAAAGACAACCCUUCCAAACACAAGGCGGUGUUUACUCGGGUUGAAGUGAGCAAUUUGCGCGUAGGCUGGAGGAAAUAAGUCGGCGGUGGCACCCGGCGUCAUUUCAAGUGGAACGCCUGGCGCCACGGCAUCAGGCGCAUGGCUGGCUGAUGCCAGGCGGCUUUUUCUAAAUGACACACAGCUGGGCGGCAUGGAGACAGAUGUCACUGCUCUUAGAAUGUAAUCUCUCCCUGCCUCCCCUCCCACUCUCGGUUUUUCCCUCCCUUUUCCUUCUCUCUCACACUCUGGUGUUUAGCCGAGCUGCCUGCCCCCCCUUCCUCCUCCCUCACAGGAUCCAGACUUCGUGGAGCCGAUCCUGCAAAAAAAAAAAAAAAAAAACACUUCCUGGAGCUGGUGCUGACUUCCUUUGCUUUUUUGUGGGACUUCCUGUGCUGCCUCUGUGAUCAGGCUGCUCCGAGUUGACUCUCUGGGAGCGACAUCCUGAUGCACAGACAGCUGCACAGAUAAUUCUCUCGUUCUGCUUUUGUCAGGACUUUUUUGUUCUUUCUCUCGGCGUGUCUCCGGGGACUUGAUUUUCCCUCUGUACUGUGUUUUCCAUUUGCAGCAGGUUUUAUUUGGCAGUGCCAAAUGAAUUUGAUCCCCCAGAAUUAUAUCAUUGACUCUAAAGAGCAGCCUGAAGGGCAGAGUUUAGGAGAUAUCUUAUGUCACUCUGUGAGGAAUAUCUCGAGGUAAUGUUCCAGGUAUAGCAAUGGUUGCUACGGCGACCCCCAUAUGGCCGAGAGUUGAGGAAGUAGCGGUUGACUGUGUCUUCUCCAAAACAAAGUGCCACAGGUCGUAUUUCAAUUUGUUUUGGUGGUUCAUUUAUUUUGGGCUGACCACACCAAGUGAGAGUGGAAAUUUUCUUUUUUUUUCUUUUAUUUUGGAAUAAGCACCGGGAAAAGUUGUUAGAGUCUUAUGUGUUCCCGAAAAAUAUAGUUUUAAUCGUAUAACAUCUGCGAGAAGAUUAAAAUUUCAAUUUCAAACGGUUUAAAAAAAAAAAAGCACAUCUGCCGAUUGCUGUUGCACGUUUACUGUGUUGACGAUGAUGACAGAUUCGGUCUCAGAGAUCUUUGAGCUCUUGGGUCAUCUUCAUAUGGCACUUAUUAAAAUGAUGGUUAUGAUGUAAACACGGCCUCAGAAGAAUCUCAGACUUCCCACAAGGAGGAGGCUUCGGCCGAUGAGCAAACAGAAGCAAAAGCAGCGUGAGCAACGAGCGUGGAGGCGGCGCAGUAAAAAGAAACGAGUGUUUGACUUGAGACGCCUCUCUGUCUGAGCUCUCAUUUUUUCCCAGCCAGCCACGCAUCACCUCUCAACCAUGAAUGUUGUUUUACUUUAGAAUACAACAAUUGCACUUCCUGACAGAUGGGCAUAUGUUCACCUUAUAUCACUGGUUCUUCCGUGCAGGCCAAUAGUGACACCAUGCCGGUGAAUAAGCCACCGAGACGUCCCCUGGGGUCAAACUGCUUUGAACUGGAGGGACACACCACGCUCUGUUUGGUCAAAUUGUCUCCUUUGGGAUGUUGAUUCUCGUUUUUAAAAUGAAUUUAGUUGCACUGGAUUGACUCGUGUUGUUUCACCUGAACGUUCAGGUCAAUGGAAGUUAUGCAACUGUCACCGCUUUGGAGCGUAUGUGCAAUCGGAACUACGAAAAAUAGCAGCGUGCUAGCAUACAAGUCAAGAUUCCUCAGCGAGAUAGCGAGGUUUCGUCACAAACUCAACAGCAGCUCUGAUAAGAUCAGCACACUCGCAAUCCUUCAUAAUUAAGGAGGUGUAGUAUUUGGCGCUCAUCCUCAGGGAAGGCGAGGAUGAGCCCCGUAACCAUUUUGCGUAGGCCUGCACGGUUCAGCUUGGAUGAUUGCUGAGUGACGGGCGGACGUGGCAGCUAGCGUUUCCACACGUCGUCCGCUUCCUGAGAUGAUGCUUGGCUCCAAGGAGCUCCGCGUGGCAGCGGGCUAAGUACACACACAGGAUGAGCUGCACAGCCCCCACAGCAAGAGGCCAGGCCAGGAGCACAGCUGGCCAGACUUGGUGGAGCCAGUCGACAGGCGCAUGGAGCGCAGCCCGCCCAGGGCCCGCUUCCUCCACAAACAUGCCCAGGUGUGGGGCCUCCGAGCUGGGCUUCUGAUCUCUAAACAGCACAGUGUGUGCGUGCAUGUGUGACUUGUAGGGAGGGAUGAUAGGAUGAGGGAUCAAGAAGGCAGAAGCGGGGAUAUGGUGUGUAUGUGUGUGUGUGUGUGUGUGUGUGUGAGCGAGUGCGGGGAAAGAGGGGGGGGCGGCGCGGGUCAUCCCUGCCGAAGCUGUGUCAACAUUGCGUGCUAAUGUGUUUGAGUAUGUGCAUCUGUAUCUGCAUGUGUUUGCAUUUCGGGAAGCGGGGGUCACUCCUGGGGUAGACAGUGGGCAACAACAAUUACCGCAGCACUGGAGCAGAAUCGUGUCUGAAUCGUUUGUGCCGGCCCACUGUGGCUUUGGGCCACGAGUGUCAUUGCAGAAACAUUGGUUUUAAGCAAUAAGCAUCAUGCAUGAAAAGGUCAUGGAAGCCAUAGCAGAUAUUUAGUUCACGCCGAGCUGCGGCCUUAAAUGAAAACCCUCUGCAACAUCUCCCGUUCAGAACUCGCUUAUUAAUCACUUCAUAAAUCACCACCGCAAAAGAACAAAUCCAGUCUACAAUGUUGCCUUAUUUGAUAUGUGACCCUCAGCGGGUUACGACUAAUGGCGACCUCAUUCUGGCCUGGUUGCCAUCCAAAAAAAGCAUUUGUGUAUUCCCAGCUACUUUCCAACGCGCCUAAAUGAGUCCACGGUGUACCAAAUGAAACAGGAGGCGUUUGCACUGAGGUCACAUCAGAUAAGACGAGGCCAGACGGGCUCAGAUAAGCUCUUUGAACGCAGAGUCAGCAUCGGGGAGAUGUUCUCUGCUCCCCUGCAGCCGUUUCACAUGGCGGCUGACGCCGGCUGAUGCUGGCUCCUUUGCGGCCUAGCGCUGCUACUAAUUAGGUGGAGGAACCCAAGGCCUUCUGACUGACUGCCUUGUCUAUUGCAAUCCCCCCACUCGGGAUUGCUCAUGCAUGCAUGACAGACACUCAUGCAAAAACAUGCUCAGCAGACUCACAGACUCCUAUCUGUUGACGACCCCUGGAGAAUCACACAUGGUGUAGGUGGCCCUCUUGUGGACGAAGAGAAAAAGACAGCACUGCUAAUUGUUAGAUUGGGUGAAUAAUUGCGGUUUGUACUUUGAAUUUGGCACUGUCUGUCAGCAGCCUGACAUUUAUGUCUAUUAUCUAUUGCUUGCUCUAUUGCAAAACAAUAAAGGCUCGCAUAGAAGUAUUUUUUUGAAAUGAUGCACUUUGAAUACCAUUAGGAACAAACUGAACUGAAUGAAUACAAGUAUUUGAGAGUAAUAAAAGCAACACUAACCCCUACUCUCCAAGUCUGUAUCCAUAUUUGCUGUAUAAAUUUGAUUAUGGUCGCCAGUUUGCUUGUCUGUGGUUUUAGUAAAUAUAUGUAAUGUGUGUCUGUAUAAAUAGAGAUAUCCAAAGCUGACUGAUAACAACGUAGUUAACAUGCCAGGCCAGUAGUUGGCGCUGUAAGUCUAAUGAAAUACCACAAACACACCUGUCUUGUAAUAAUGGAAAAUUCUCUGCCUGCAAAUGUGCAUGGUGAGAAAAAUAAUGUCAGUCCCUCUGUGAUUGACAGAUGACCCAGAUUAGCUCGAGUGGUUUAAAAAAUGGACUAAAUCAACACUAACUCAAAAUAAUUUUCCACAACAGACAGUGAGUCUUCAAUUUUCUUCAUUCAAUUUUCUCGUGGUUGAUUUGUCUGUGGCAUCUACUUAGAGAUGUGUUGUUUUAUGCUCCCACCGGGCAGAGUUUUGAGCCUAGUUAACCUCUCAUGUCCUGGAGAAUUCCACAAACUGUCAGCUGUUUUUUCCAGGAGCAUCCCAGGGGGGGUCAUUCCUUGCCUCAGUGCUGGGAACGCUCUCAAUGUCUCCCUGCGACGAAUAUCAACACAAUUAAAGUGUUUGAACAGCCCUAAUGUGCACACAUAUGGACACAGAGGGUGUCUGUGUGAGCACCGCUGCUGCAAGCUUCAAGAUAUUUGCAAUCAAGCUUGGGGAGCUCGAGUUUCCGCCGGGAUUUGUGUGCGUGUCAUUUAGUGUUUAUUGAUUGUUUUGCUUGUGUACAUGGCUCGCUCACCUGUUCACACAAACAAACAGACACGCACGCAUCCGAAU